AUUUUUCUAAAUAAUUAUUCGAUUUUGGUAUAAUUUUAGAUAUAGAAAAAUCAUUACUUUUCAUUAGAAAAAAAUUGGAAAACUGCACUUCUUUAUAAAGGAAAAUAGUGAAAAACAAUUUAAAUUUGUUUUUCAAAUCUUAGUUCAAUUUUGAAAAAUAGUUUUUCAGUUCUCAAUUUAAAAAUUGGCACAUCUGAAUACGAAAUUCUGUUUUUCAAUUUUCUUAGAAAACUACAAGUGAACAGGCCCUUCUUAGCCAGUAAGCAUCGAGUCAUGCCUAUUAAGAAUACAAGUGUUGUUGUAUGUGCAAUUGUUUUAUUUUGAUCAUUGAUCAUGAUGAUCUCACAUAACUCCUAUCAUGAUCAAUAAUCAUAGUGUAUCUGUUGUACUACAUACCGAAUAAAUUCUCCUACUGGUUUUCUUGAUUGGCCCGCUUGAAGAACCAUUUCUGUGGUUUCUUUUCCCUUGUAUGUGUGAUGAAGACAAGUAAUUAAGGGAAGCAGAUCACUGUUAGAGAUUAGUAUCUUAGUUUUAAUGUAACACACUCAAAAACAUGAAAGUUUGAGAAUUUCAAAGCUUUAUGUCUGCCUCACUUUGCUAUGGGCAGACGUGGAAGGUAAGGAAAAGCAAAACUUAUCAAAAUUGAGCGGCAGCACAAAUUAUUGCGGGUCCCUGCAAAAUAUAAUCAAGACAAACCUCAAUGCUUUAAUCAAUCAAUGCUUUAAUCAAAGUCAAAUCAUUAUAAAGCUAAUAAAAAUAUAAUUAUUUUAUUAGUGUGGAAGGUCAAGUUGAUAAGAUCAUAGUUUUAUAUAAAUUGAGUGAGCAUGCAACAAAGGGCCAAGAUAAGAAGCCCAUAAGAACAGAAGAUUAAGGAUAUAAAGAUGCCCCUUUUGUCAAGUUAAUCUGUCAUCAUAAGGUGGAGAAAAAAAAUAGUUCAGUUUUAGCUUGGUAAGAUAAUGAAUAGAGGAAACUAUCGUAGAAUAAUCUAGUGCAAUUAGCUUAAUUCAUAUCUGAUCAGAUCAGAUUCUCUAAUGGGUAUUUUUUAGAUUGGCCAAAUUGAGUUUGUAGUAUGGCUGCUAGGCCCCCGUGUGAAAUACAUAAUCAUAGAAAUAGUCUCAUCAAGCCUUCAGCCUCUUCUUGCUGUGCAAAGCAUUGUAGUGGAUAUGAAGCCAUCAUCAUUGUAAAUAUGACUGCUGCCACUGAUUUGGUCAAAUCAUUUCUUUUAACUAAGGAUUUCUGAAGAUAUACCUAAUAAACUCACAAUCACAAUUCCAUAUUCUGAACUUUGAACUAGUGGUUUUCCAUCAACAGUGCUUUUUCAUUAAUUGCGCUGGUCCUACAUCCUUUAGUUGGAAGGUUUUGCAAUUUGUGGGAAACAAAAGUUCCACUAUGGUUUAUAUUGCUUUACCAGUUGGACUUUAAAAGGUCAAUUGAUGAUGUUAUACACUUUCACUAUGAAUAUACUGCUCACUGAUCUUCAUUACAGUGUUUCUUUCAAAAUCCCCUUGGACUAGAAUUAUUUUCAUUUGUAUUUCUUUUUUCCUAGGUGUAUGUAUGUCACAAACAGAUGUAAUUUGCUACUGUGCUUAUUACUUCAAAGCAUUUCUGCAUCUCACAUUCAAAACAUUCUUUAAUUUUCUUCCUAUUUUUCUGCAAUAUAUCCAACUUAUAUUAGUUCAUUAAUUCUGACAAUAAUUCAAGGUUAAUGAGGAAUUUAGAUCAAGAUAGCAAUAAUAUAUUUCCUUUAUUUUCUGAAUUGACUUAUUAUGAGCUUGGUAGUAUGAAGUUUAUUGAUUCUGCAGAUGUUGAACUCCCAGUUGUUUGUGCUAUACUUGUAUUUUUGUUUGCUCUCCAACAUUAUGGAACCCACCGGGUAGGGUUCCUUUUUGCACCUGUUGUGAUUACAUGGCUGUUAUGCAUAAGUGCUAUUGGUUUGUACAAUAUUUUGUACUGGAAUCCCCAUGUUUUUCAAGCACUGUCCCCAUACUACAUGUACAAAUUUUUGAAGAAGACCCAGAAGGGAGGUUGGAUGUCCUUGGGUGGGAUUCUGUUGUGCAUAACAGGUACAAGAUCAUAUGUGACUGUGUCCUCUCACCAUUUAUCUAAUAGACUAAUAGUCUAUAUUAUGUUUGUCUUUCUAAUGCAGAGUUUUUGUAUAUUGUAGGCUCAGAAGCUAUGUUUGCUGAUCUUGGGCACUUCUCACAGUUGUCAAUCAAGGUAACUGAUCCGAUUGUUGUAUCAUAGUUUCAAGCAAUUACAUGUGCAAACAUUUUGAAAUCGUCUUCUAAAAGCAAUUGCAUAAGCAUAACUAUCUUCAUAUACAGUUCAAUAGAGUUGAUGCCUGUUUUUCUGAUCUGCAACAACUUGGCACUCGCAUUCAUUACAUAAACAUCUUUCUAUGAGGAUAAGCGUCUUUAAUUGUAUCUCACAAGCAGCUGACUACCUGCUUGGUAAUUUUGUCUCACUUGUAUAACUCAUAUCAGUACAAAAUUAACGAAAAUUUAGCUCCUGGAAAUGAUUUCUCUUGCAGAACUCCCCAAUAAUUUCAAGCAAGCAACUCCUCUAACAGAACUUCACUCUCUGCAGAUUGCUUUCACGUUUGCAGUUUACCCUUCCUUGAUCCUCGCAUAUAUGGGGCAAGCUGCUUAUCUUUCUAAGCAUCAUAACAAUGAAAGUGACUACAGGAUUGGUUUCUAUGUAUCUGUGCCUGGUAAGCUACCAGCGUCAUUGUUUUUGAAAGGGCAUUCCACUUGAUCUUCAUAGAGUAUAAUGCAGCCAGUGGUAUUCUCAUUGUUUCAGAGAAAAUAAGAUGGCCAGUUAUGGCAAUAGCCAUUCUUGCGGCGGUGGUGGGAAGCCAAGCCAUCAUCACCGGAACUUUUUCAAUAAUCAAACAGUGUUCAGCUCUCGGUUGCUUUCCAAAGGUCAAAAUUGUUCACACCUCUUCGAAAAUUCAUGGACAGAUUUACAUUCCAGAGGUCAACUGGACAUUAAUGCUGUUAUGUUUAGCUGUUACCGUUGGUUUCAGAAACACAAAACACAUGGCAAAUGCAGCAGGUUUGGCAGUUAUAACUGUAAUGCUGGUGACAACCUGCCUAAUGUCUCUGGUCAUGGUCUUAUGCUGGCACAAAAAUGUCUUUCUAGCAAUUUGUUUUAUAUUCUUCUUUGGAUCCAUUGAAGCUCUUUACUUCUCAGCAUCCCUUAUCAAGUUCCUUGAAGGGGCAUGGGUACCUGUUGCCCUCUCAUUUAUCUUCCUAGCUGUUAUGUAUGUUUGGCACUAUGGGACAAUCAAGAAAUAUGAAGCCGAUGUUCAAAAUAAGGUCUCCAUCAACUGGCUCCUCAGUCUAGGUCCCACUCUGGGAAUUGUCAGGGUUCGAGGGAUUGGCCUCAUACAUACUGAGCUUGUCUCUGGGAUCCCAGCUAUAUUCUCUCACUUUGUUACCAACCUUCCUGCUUUCCACCAGGUUGUAGUCUUCCUCUGCAUCAAAUCUGUACCAGUGCCACAUGUUAGACCUGAGGAAAGGUUCUUGGUGGGAAGAGUCGGUCCAAAGGAGUACCGUCUGUACAGAUGCAUAGCACGUUAUGGUUACCGCGAUGUGCACAAGGAUGAUGUGGAGUUUGAGAAAGAUCUUGUUUGUAGUAUUGCAGAAUUUAUCAGGUCAGAAAGGCCUGAAUGUAAUAUGGGAAUAGAAGAUUUGGGAGAGGACCAAAAAAUGACAGUUGUUGGGACUUUAUCAUCAAAUUUCGAAGGUAUUAAACUGUGUGAAGACGAUGCAUAUUCUUCUGAUAUGAUAGGCACUUCAGAGACGAGGGAGAUAGAGAUACAGUCCCCCAAAAGGACAAGAAAGAGAGUGAGGUUUGUUGUGCCGGAAAGUCCACAGAUUGACAUGGAGGUGCAGGAUGAGUUGCGGGAAUUAAUGGAAGCAAGGGAAGCAGGAAUGGCAUUUAUAAUGGGGCACUCUUAUGUGAGGGCUAAGAGAGGAUCAAGUUGGAUGAAGAAAGUAGUGAUAGAUUAUGGGUAUGAUUUCUUGAGAAAAAAUUCCAGGGGACCAACUUAUGCUCUGAGCAUACCUCAUGCAUCAACACUAGAGGUGGGAAUGGUCUACUUUGUCUAAUUCAAGCUAUACAACAUAGCUACAAACGCAACAAAAAUAUUCUGCAAUUUUCUGA
rnacentral:misc_RNA from 1 species